UACGUAGGGUGCAAGCGUUAAUCGGAAUUACUGGGCGUAAAGGGCGCGUAGGCGGCCACCGCAAGUCGGUUGUGAAAUCUCCGGGCUUAACCCGGAAAGGUCAAUCGAUACUGCGGGGCUAGAGUGCAGAAGGGGCAACUGGAAUUCUCGGUGUAGCGGUGAAAUGCGUAGAUAUCGAGAGGAACACCUGCGGCGAAGGCGGGUUGCUGGGCUGACACUGACGCUGAAGCGCGAAAGCUAGGGGAGCGAACGGG
rnacentral:rRNA from 1 species